rnacentral:rRNA from 1 species
CAUAGUUUCCAUGCCACCCUAAGAAUGCCCAAUCUUAUAUGAUCUUGGAAUCUAAGCAGAGUUGGGCUUGGUUGGUGCUUAGAUUGGAAACUGCUAGGAAUACUAGUUGUGGCCUAGU